rnacentral:rRNA from 1 species
GGCCAGACUCCUACGGGAGGCAGCAGUGGGGAAUAUUGCACAAUGGGGGAAACCCUGAUGCAGCGACGCCGCGUGAGUGAAGAAGUAUUUCGGUAUGUAAAGCUCUCUCAGCAGGAAAGAAAAUGACGGUACCUGACUAAGAAGCCCCGGCUAACUACGUGCCAGCAGCCGCGGUAAUACGUAGGGGGCAAGCGUUAUCCGGAUUUACUGGGUGUAAAGGGAGCGUAGACGGUGAAGCAAGUCUGAAGUGAAAGGCGGGGGCUCAACCCCCGGACUGCUUUGGAAACUGUUUGACUGGAGUGCAGGAGAGGUAAGUGGAAUUCCUAGUGUAGCGGUGAAAUGCGUAGAUAUUAGGAGGAACACCAGUGGCGAAGGCGGCUUACUGGACUGUAACUGACGUUGAGGCUCGAAAGCGUGGGGAGCAAACAGGAUUAGAUACCCCCGUAGCA